UACAGAGGUCUCAAGCGUUGUUCGGAUUCACUGGGCGUAAAGGGUGCGUAGGUGGUCGGGUAAGUCUGAUGUGAAAUCUCUGGGCUCAACCCAGAAAUGGCAUUGGAUACUAUUCGGCUAGAGGAGUGGAGGGGGGACUGGAAUACUUGGUGUAGCAGUGAAAUGCGUAGAUAUCAAGUGGAACACCAGUGGCGAAAGGCGGAGUCCCUGGGACCGACUCAUGCAGCUGGAAGGCAACGAAAAGCCUGGGGGAGC
rnacentral:rRNA from 1 species